CCGCACACUGCUCAGUAACACGUAGUCAACCUACCCUUGGGACGGGGACAACCUCGGGAAACUGAGGCUAAUCCCCGAUAGGUGAGGGGCGCUGGAAUGCCUCCUCGCCCAAAGCUCCGGCGCCCAAGGAUGGGACUGCGGUCUAUCAGGCUGUUGGUGGUGUAACGGACCACCAAACCUACGACGGGUACGGGUGAUGGGAGUCGGAGCCCGGAGAUGGGGACUGAGACAAGGCCCCAGGCCCUACGGGGCGCAGCAGGCGCGAAAACUCCGCAAUGCGCGCAAGCGUGACGGGGGAAUCCCAAGUGCCGUUGGUCUUAUGAUCGACGGUUUUUAGGAAGUCUAAGAAGCUCCCAGAAUAAGGGCUGGGCAAGACUGGUGCCAGCCGCCGCGGUAACACCAGCAGCCCAAGUGGUGACCACGAUUAUUGGGCCUAAAGCGCUCGUAGCCGGAUCAGCAAGUCCCUUGUGAAAUCGGGCCGCCUAACGGUUCGGCGUGCAAGGGAUACUGUUGGUCUUGAUGCCGGGAGAGGUCGGAGGUACUCCUGGGGUAGCGUGUGAAAUCCUCUAAUCCUAGGGGGACCACCAUUGGCGAAGGCGUCCCGACCAGAACGGACCUGACGGUGAGGGGCGAAGGCUAGGGGAGCGAACGGGAUUAUAUACCCCGGUAGUCCUAGCUGUAAAGCAUGCGAGGCCAGGUGUCUAGCGCUCCUCGAGGGCGCUAGGUGCCGGAGGGAAGCCGUUAAGCCCGCCGCCUGGGAAGUACGGCCGCAAGGCUGAAACUUAAAGAAAUUGGCGGGGGAGCACCACAAGAGGUGGGACCUGCGGUUCAAUUGGAUUCAACGCCUUGAAAACUCACCAAGGGCGACAGCUGGUUGACGGCCAGGUUGACUACCUUGCCCAGACUAGCUGAGAGGUGGUGUAUGGCCAUCNUCAGCUCUUACCGUGAGGCAUCCUGUUAAGUCAGGCAACGAGCGAGAUCCUCUCCCUUAAUUGCCAUCGGUGGAAAGCCGGGCUCUCUAGGGGGACCGCUGGCGCUAAGUCAGAAGAAGGAGAGGGCGACGGUA
rnacentral:rRNA from 1 species